GACGGAGGAUGCAAGCGUUAUCCGGAAUGAUUGGGCGUAAAGCGUCUGCAGGUGGCCGUUCAAGUCUGCUGUCAAAGACCGGGGCUUAACUUCGGAAAGGCAGUGGAAACUGAACAGCUAGAGUAUGGUAGGGGCAGAGGGAACUCCUGGUGUAGCGGUGAAAUGCGUAGAGAUCAGGAAGAACAUCGGUGGCGAAGGCGCUCUGCUGGACCAUAACUGACACUCAGGGACGAAAGCUAGGGGAGCGAAUGGG
rnacentral:rRNA from 1 species